rnacentral:rRNA from 1 species
UACAUGGGGUGCAAACGUUGCUCGGAAUUAUUGGGCGUAAAGCGCACGUAGGCGGUUUGUUAAGUCGGAUGUGAAAGCCCUCGGCUCAACUGAGGAAGUGCAUCCGAAACUGGCAAGCUAGAGUAUGUAAGAGGGUCGCGGAAUUCCCGGUGUAGAGGUGAAAUUCGUAGAUAUCGGGAGGAACACCGGUGGCGAAGGCGGCGACCUGGGACAAUACUGACACUGAGGUGCGAAAGCGUGGGGAGCAAACAGG